rnacentral:rRNA from 7 species
GGCGUUAAGUUGCAGGGUAUAGACCCGAAACCCGGUGAUCUAGCCAUGGGCAGGUUGAAGGUUGGGUAACACUAACUGGAGGACCGAACCGACUAAUGUUGAAAAAUUAGCGGAUGACCUGUGGCUGGGGGUGAAAGGCCAAUCAAACCGGGAGAUAGCUGGUUCUCCCCGAAAGCUAUUUAGGUAGCGCCUCGUGAAUUCAUCUCCGGGGGUAGAGCACUGUUUCGGCUAGGGGGCCAUCCCGGCUUACCAACCCGAUGCAAACUGCGAAUACCGGAGAAUGUUAUCACGGGAGACACACGGCGGGUGCUAACGUCCGUCGUGAAGAGGGAAACAACCCAGACCGCCAGCUAAGGUCCCAAAGUCAUGGUUAAGUGGGAAACGAUGUGGGAAGGCCCAGACAGCCAGGAUGUUGGCUUAGAAGCAGCCAUCAUUUAAAGAAAGCGUAAUAGCUCACUGGUCGAGUCGGCCUGCGCGGAAGAUGUAACGGGGCUAAACCAUG